rnacentral:rRNA from 1 species
CACGGAAGUGUACGUUAAAGGGUGUAGUUUAUGAGAGGGCCAGGCAAAUCCAGUCCUUGAGAUGAAACCCGAUAGUACCGCGAUCUUUUAAGAGAGCGGAUAAUGGACCUAAUCAUACUUCCAAGAAAAACCUCUAAGCUUCAGGCAUAAGCUGCCCGUACCGCAAACCGACACAGGUAGUCGAGGAGAGUAUCCUCAGGCGCUCGAGUGAUUCACGGCUAAGGAACUCGGCAAAAUAGACCCGUAACUUCGGGAGAAGGGUCGCCCCGCGCAAGCGGGGCCGCAGUAAAAAGGCUCAGGCGACUGUUUAGCAAAAACACAGGGCUCCGCAAAAUCGAAAGAUGAAGUAUAGGGCCUGACACCUGCCCGGUGCUGGAAGGUUAAGGAAGCUUGUUAGUGGGAAACUGCGAAGCUUGUAACUGAAGCCCCAGUAAACGGCGGCCGUAACUAUAACGGUCCUAAGGUAGCGAAAUUCCUUGUCGGGUAAGUUCCGACCUGCACGAAUGGUGUAACGAUCUGAGCACUGUCUCGGCCGUGAGCUCGGUGAAAUUGUAGCCCCGGUGAAGAUGCCGGGUACCCGCAACGGGACGGAAAGACCCCGUGAACCUUCACUAUAGCUUUGCAUUGGUUUUGAGUAAAUAAUGUGUAGGAUAGGUGGGAGGCUGCGAAGCAGGCACGCUAGUGUUUGUGGAGCCGUCCUUGAAAUACCACCCUUUAUUUACUUAGAGUCUAACUCUUUGAAAGAGGACAGUGCAUGGUGGGUAGUUUGACUGGGGUGGUCGCCUCCAAAAGAGUAACGGAGGCUUUCAAAGGUACCCUCAGCACGCUUGGUAACCGUGCGUAGAGCGCAAUAGUAUAAGGGUGCUUGACUGUAAGACCGACGGGUCAAGCAGGUAGGAAACUAGGAUAUAGUGAUCCGGUGGUUCCGUAUGGAAGGGCCAUCGCUCAUAGGAUAAAAGGUACUCCGGGGAUAACAGGCUGAUCCUACCCAAGAGCUCAUAUCGACGGUAGGGUUUGGCACCUCGAUGUCGGCUCGUCACAUCCUGGGGCUGGAGAAGGUCCCAAGGGUUGGGCUGUUCGCCCAUUAAAGUGGCACGCGAGCUGGGUUCAGAACGUCGCAAGACAGUUCGGUCCCUAUCUGUUGUGGGCGUUUGAGAUUUGAGGAGAUCUGACUCUAGUACGAGAGGACCGGGUCGGACUGACCACUAGUGUACCUGUUAUGGCGCCAGCUGUAUCGCAGGGUAGCUAUGUCGGGAAUGGAUAAGCGCUGAAAGCAUCUAAGCACGAAACCAACUCCAAGAUUAGAUCUCGUAGGGCUGUGGAAGAUUACCACGUUGAUAGGCUACAGGUGUAAAGGCAGUAAUGUCAUAGCCGAGUAGUACUAAUUGCCCGUAAGCUUU